CGCAUCUGUGCAUGCAGCAUAUCAAUAAGCGGAGGAAAAGAAACUAAUAAGGAUUCCCCUAGUAACGGCGAGUGAAGCGGGAAGAGCUCAAAUUUGAAAUCUUAAAGGGUUUCCCCUUACGAAUUGUAGUUUAAAGAAGUGUUUUCUGUUGAGGUUUUGGUAAAAGUUCUUUGGAAUAGGACAUCAUAGAGGGUGAGAAUCCCGUAUUUGACCUUUACUUUCAACUUUGUGAUACACUUUCAAAGAGUCGGAUUGUUUGGGAAUGCAGUCCAAAAUGGGUGGUAAAUUUCAUCUAAAGCUAAAUAUUGGCGAGAGACCGAUAGCGAACAAGUACCGUGAGGGAAAGAUGAAAAGAACUUUGAAAAGAGAGUUAAACAGUACGUGAAAUUGUCAAAAGGGAAGCGUUUGACACCAGUGUUGUUUUUCUGAAAAUCAAUUAAAGAACUGUUUAUGCUAAGCUGUUUAGACUUUAUCAGCUAUCUGUUUAGUUUUGAGCUUUUCUUUAAUGCACUUUUCAGUUAACAAGUCAACAUCAAUUUCUUUUGCUGUAAAAAAGCUUGAGGAAGGUGGCUUGAGAUUCGUCUUAAGUGUUUAUAGCCUCUUGCCUAUGCAGUCGGAGAGAUUGAGGUCUGCAGCGUAGAUCCUUCGGGGCUAAAUGCAUUUGUGCUAAGUUAUAGCAUUUUAUAGACAACUUGUUGACUAUGAUUUGUCUUGUAGCUUACUCGCUUAUGUUAUUUUACCUACGCUUAGGAUGUUGAGUCAUCACACAUCUCU
rnacentral:rRNA from 1 species